ACCUAUGUCCUUCAUCCUCGGGACACAACCCCGACAGUGCUCUAAGCUUACAUCAAACCUUCACCAUCAUAUUGUUUGUCUUGAGAGACAACUCUGAAUUCUGAGAUCGCAUCUUAUCUAUGGUUAUAAUAACCUUUUGCUUCACCAUUCCCUUGGCUUGAUGUCAUCGCCGAGCGAUUGCAUCCUCAUGGAGCCUCUCGACAAGAUUUGUCGUGAUCAUCAUCAACAUUUUGACCCCUUCCAAGAUACUAAAUUGAAUUCAUUAUGAGAAAUACCAUCCUUGCCCUCGAUGAUCUGUGUUAUCAUCGACCACCUUAUUGACUUCCCUCCAACACAAACGUAUUCGUGUUUUGAGUUAUACUUGGAGAUCCUUGCUAUCCAACAUUUGUUCUUCUUUACCUUGGAUUAUUACCAUCUUUAAUGUCAAGAAAGUCGUGAGGAUUUCAUCACCUCUUAAGGAUUCUUGAUACAGGUAAUACUUCUCACCAUCACCUUUCUUUCUUGGUCCCCGUGUUGGUUCUAACCGGGAUUCCAACAAGUGAACGGUACUGCAUGGAUUUUGUACUUCUAACAACCCUAUUGCUUUGAAGUUGAUGGUCGAUAGUUCGUUCUUAGACUAUUGGUUGUUGAACCACCAUUCUAACGUUGAUCAUGCUACCUAAGCCCAUCUUUCGGGUGCACCUUUCAAUCAAUGUUCAAUUGUGUAUGCUUUCCUCGAGCAUACAUCAUUAUAUUAUAUCAUUUGAUCUGACAAAUGUUAUCUCCUUGUUCACAUAAUUGUGGAAACCCAUCCUUUCAAAAUCUCGAUAAAUUGUCACUGAGUUCAUCAACUACCUCCUUAUUCCUUCAUUGGUUUAAUGAUGAGAUCUUGUUCUGGAACUCCCUUCCAUAGUACAUUUCCUGAGAAUCUUACAAUGUCUUCUUGUCAAAUUGUGUUGCACCUUUUCUUCUCAGGCAUCCAAAUGUCUCAGGUAUCCUGGCACCAAUCAGAUCUGAAUCUCGGCCAGAUAUGAUGGUUGGGACUUAUUUCCAAGAGUUAUAACAUUGGUCCUUAUAUAUCGGUAAGGUGAGGUCAUGCCUAUCACCCCUGGCCGGAGGACCUAUUGUUAUAGUUCCCUUUUUAGCAAGCUUAGCGAUUCUUCCCUAAGGAAAUCAUAAGACUUAUGCUAUAAGUUGUUCCUGAUGAAUCCUUUGUACAUCCAAAUUCCGACCCCUUACUUGAUGACCACGUCAAUGCUAUCUCGAAGCAUGUCUAUGGUACUCCAUUUUUCAACAAGAACAUUUGAAGCCCAGUGCUAAAUGUUUCUUGCUCAAUUAUCCAAUCACCGUUGUAUGAGUCAUGUCAUGAAAUUUCUCUCCCCUUUCCUAAAGGGUUUUUCUACUUAAUAUCCUGCCAGGGAUAUCAUGCUCUAUUUGUCCUUGGGAAGGAUAUACCCCUGAAAUAAGUGUUCAAAAACAUUUUCCUUUCCAUUGAUCUAUUUAAUCUGAUAAUCAUACUAUCCUUCCCAUUGUAUUAAUUAACAUUUCUAGUAAUCUGACUUAUCUGAGCAGUGGCAUUUCCCUGCUUAGCUAAGCACCUUGUUGUACCACUCUGUCAGUAAAACCCUGUUACUAUUGUUGAUGACAUUCCGGUAACCACCGAUGGACGAGAAUUUUGCCUAUUGGUCCGCCUCGUUCAACGAGCAGGAAAAUGGUUCUCUUCGUCCCUCGCCCUUGGUACCGAUGUUGUUGCCGACAUAAAUGUUAGGCUAUAACCCACAUGGUGGGCCCAUAACCCAUAGUUCCACAGGAUCGAAACCUGACUCUCAUGUACAACCCUGUUUCCGAAGUUAUUCCUCAUGCUUGGCUUCGUAUGUAAUUCAAGAGCCACCUUUCGGGGAAUCAUCGAUUCUGGUAUUAAACAUAAUACCUAUACACGUUGCCUUGUUUCAGGCAACGACGAUUGUCUAUCCGUUUCAAACUUCUUAUGGUACCUUCUUACUUUGCUCUCGAUGUGUUUUAUUUGUUCAACUCGAGAGAUACCCUUAUGAUCAUUCUUGGGAUACCCCCAAAUGAAUUUCCCUUAUAACAUUCAAUUGUUGUAAAGCUGCCCCUUACCUAUUCGUAAGUACGAUGGAGUUCCCGAAGAAAGGACGACAACUUCAUCAUGAUGACCUGAAACAGCGAAAUGAAGACAUCAAUGUAGUGGAU
rnacentral:lncRNA from 1 species